rnacentral:rRNA from 1 species
GACGAACGCUGGCGGCGUGCUUAACACAUGCAAGUCGAACGGAAAGGCCCUGCUUUUGUGGGGUGCUCGAGUGGCGAACGGGUGAGUAACACGUGAGUAACCUGCCCUUGACUUUGGGAUAACUUCAGGAAACUGGGGCUAAUACCGGAUAGGAGCUCCUGCUGCAUGGUGGGGGUUGGAAAGUUUCGGCGGUUGGGGAUGGACUCGCGGCUUAUCAGCUUGUUGGUGGGGUAGUGGCUUACCAAGGCUUUGACGGGUAGCCGGCCUGAGAGGGUGACCGGCCACAUUGGGCCUGAGGUACGGCCCAGACUCCUACGGGAGGCAGCAGUGGGGAAUAUUGCACCAUGGGCGGAAGCCUGAUGCAGCAACGCCGCGUGCGGGAUGACGGCCUUCGGGUUGUAAACCGCUUUCGCCUGUGACGAAGCGUGAGUGACGGUAAUGGGUAAAGAAGCACCGGCUAACUACGUG